AAACUUUCAACAACGGAUCUCUUGGUUCUGGCAUCGAUGAAGAACGCAGCGAAAUGCGAUAAGUAAUGUGAAUUGCAGAAUUCAGUGAAUCAUCGAAUCUUUGAUCGCACAUUGCGCCCCUUGGUAUUCCGGGGGGCAUGCCUGUUCGAGCGUCAUUU
rnacentral:rRNA from 1 species